ensembl:lncRNA
GAGAGCGAGCCCCGCGGCCCGCGGCUUCGCAGGGCGGCCGGCUCCCGGACCAUCUCGGGAGGUCACUUUUCGCCCGGCACCAAAGCUGGGGGCCCCCCGUGCGCGCGGCCAGAGUUCCGAUCGCCCUGGAGGGAAAAGGGUUGUUCUUGGCAACUCUGCAUUUGUGCGACCUGGAGACUUCAUUUUCUAAGGACCGAAGCCAGGGGGAAAGUUGGCUGCCAUGUCAUCAGGAUGUUCAAGCAGCUCUGUGGAAGGGUCUACAUGGUAAGGGACUGAAGCCUCCUGCCAACAGCCAUGUGAAUGAACCAUCUUGGAAGCCCAUCUUCCCUCCCCAGACAAGCCUUCAAGUGACCAUGGCCACUGCCAAGGUCUUAACCACGACCUUUUGAAAGACCCUGAGCCAGAACCACCUGACUGAGCUGCCUGAAUUCCUGACCCACAGGAGCUAUGAG